rnacentral:rRNA from 1 species
UGGGGAAUUUUGGACAAUGGGCGAAAGCCUGAUCCAGCAAUGCCGCGUGUGUGAAGAAGGCCUUCGGGUUGUAAAGCACUUUUGUCCGGAAAGAAACCCUUGGCUCUAAUACAGUCGGGGGAUGACGGUACCGGAAGAAUAAGCACCGGCUAACUACGUGCCAGCAGCCGCGGUAAUACGUAGGGUGCAAGCGUUAAUCGGAAUUACUGGGCGUAAAGCGUGCGCAGGCGGUUUGCUAAGACCGACGUGAAAUCCCCGGGCUCAACCUGGGAACUGCAUUGGUGACUGGCAGGCUAGAGUAUGGCAGAGGGGGGUAGAAUUCCACGUGUAGCAGUGAAAUGCGUAGAGAUGUGGAGGAAUACCGAUGGCGAAGGCAGCCCCCUGGGCCAAUACUGACGCUCAUGCACGAAAGCGUGGGGAGCAAAACAGGAUUAGAUACCCUGGUAGUCCACGCCCUAAACGAUGUCAACUAGUUGUUGGGGAUUCAUUUCCUUAGUAACGUAGCUAACGCGUGAAGUUGACCGCCUGGGGAGUACGGUCGCAAGAUUAAAACUU